GUGAUAAGGAGCCAUGGACAGACUUCUGUGUCUGAAAUCUCUAAGUCCAGGAGACAGAGUGAGGCCUCCCUGCACGCCUUUGUGCCAGGCCUGGGGAAGAGAGAAAAUCAUGUGAGUGCCUGCAUGUCUCCCAGCCCUGCAGGAACAAGGAGACCUGCUCAAGGGUGUGUUUUUCCACUUUUGCCCAUGAGGAAGCAGGCCUCUGCCACUGAGAGAACGUAGGGUCAGAAAGACCUACACUGGAAUCUGGUUCCAUCCCUUUCUAACUGUGUGACCUUGGGCAUGUCACUUAACCUCUCUGAGCCUCCAUUUCUUCAUCUAUAGAACAGGGAAGAAGAAAACCUGCCUUCUAGAGUUGUUUUGAAGAUUGAAUAAAAUACAUUCUAUAAAGCCCUGAUAGAUGAACUACCCACCGCUCUUCCAUCUGUUUCCUUUUUCUGGCUCUCUCAGCUUCUUGGUGCAUUGAGAGGGCACCUACCUCAGGCAGGCCACACAUCCAAAGCUUUGGUCCUUCUCCAGGGACCAUACAUCACAGAAAUCCUGUGUCCAACACAAGUUUCAGGAAAGGCUCCCUCCAGCAUUACUGUAAGUUCUUAAGUUGCUGAGGUGGCAUAAGAGUCAAGCACAAAAAAUAGCCCAGCCUCCAGAUCCCAAGGAAGGUGCAUGCUCAGAGCACUGUCCUUCCACCCAGUCCUCUCACCUGUCACCACAAGAGCCUUGAGUGUCCAAGCUUCAGCUCUCAGCCGCUCACUGGCAUCCAGGAGAUACUGUCCGGGGCUUGCCUACCCCUGCACAGCAGGCUGCCUGCCUCAUUGGUUGGCUCCUGAAUGUUUGGUAAUCAUAAACCCUAGGGUCAAAGAGCUGGACCGUAACACAGCAGGGAGCCCAGUGUGCAUUCUCCUUUGUGGUCAAAGGGAAUGACCUGGAAGGGGAGACUCAAGGUCUGGGAUCGCCUGGGGUCCUUGCCCUUCUGGAAGGCCUGCCACCUCUCUUGGCUGUUCAGGCCCCGAGCAUCUCUCUGCCACCUGGCACACUUGGUACUCUCUGAGAUACACCCUGGUCCCUGUACACAUAUACCGCGAGCCUGAGAACUGUGCCAUUCACCCUGUACUCAUUCACCACUGAGCAGAAGCCGAGUCCCCAGGCUUGGCAAGAAGGCCCUCCCCAGCUAGGCUUCUCCCCACUGAGGUUUCCCUGGUCCACGAAGCAUUGAUAGUUGGCAGUUCCUUGCACUCACCUCACCAACUCCUGCCUCCACCCAUUCAUUGAUUCAGUCAACAGUUGUGUGCGAUGCACUUCCUGUGUCUGGGGGUCAUUUCAGCCAUGAGCAAGGUUGACAUUCGGAUGACAGACAUGGCUGUGUGUGGCUGGUGUGUGUUCUGGCUGUUGGUCAGAGGCUGUGCCAUACCCAUUGUUAAAUAUUUUGCACUGCAGAUGUUGGGGAGGCCCAAAUUCAUGCUCUUGUACCCGACGUAGAGCUGAUGCCAAACACACACGUUGGGGCUUGGAGACAGAGAAAGUUUUAUUCGAUUUGGCCAAAGCAAGAAGGCAGGAGAGCAAGAUCUCUCAAAUUCACUUCAACAAAGAAGCAGCAGCAGAACGUUUUUAUGCAGCUAGAGAGUGAGGAAGGGGGAGUUCAGGUGGAUUGAGAGGAAAAGUCUGUGUUUCCUCAAUCUCAGAUAACACCUUGAGCAACCAGGCUUCUGGAUGUCAGCAGCUGGUCACAGUGUCCUUCAAGGCAUUCAUUCCUUCUGCAAACUUUUCCUGACCCUGAAGGUAUGUCUUCCUGCUGGGCAAAGAAACAGUACAUAAGCAGUUUAUCAUUAUAUUGUGGGAACAAGGAAUAUUGGACCAAAAGCAAGUGGUUAACAUAUGCAAGCCAGCAAGGGCCUGAUCAGAAGGCCCUAAAACAUGCUGGGGUGCUGAAAUCUCAAGGGGCCCGAUUACAAGGAUGAAAUGUACACGAGAUAGGCAAAAGCAAAACCUAACAGUAAAAGCCUGUUUCCACACCAAAUUACAUGCUAUUGAAGGGAAAGCUCCCUUCCAAAGAUUAGCUAACCUAUUGAUGAUCAACCAAGCUGGGCCUGUCAUCUAGGUUAGGUAGUUUGGACUCUAUUCCAAGAGCAAUGGGAGGACAUUGAUAUGCACGGAGGGGAGGAGGGGUGUGUGUGUGUGUGUGUGUGUGGUGUGUGCGUGCACAUCAUUCUGGCUGCAGGUGGACAACAGAUCUGAAGAGGUAGGAAUGGAAGCAGCUACCCCUUAUGGCUCGUUCAGCAUCCAGGCAGGAGCAGGUCCCCCAGUACAGGGAUGUGGGUGCUCACUGUACAAGAGCAGCUGGCCCAGAGGGGCUGGUGGGAGCUAAAAUCGGGCCUCCCUCUGAUUGCCAAGCCAUGAGCCAUGGCACGAAGCUCAGACUGGCCAAAGGAAAAGGCAACCUUUUCUUAUUUGCUCAAGGGCAUUGCUUGCCUGCUAAACUCUGCAUCCAGUGGGCUGCAUGGCUUGAGGCUGUGGGUAGCUCUGGAUUCAUAAAGAAGCCACCUGGGCAGCAGAUGCCCAUGUGACAGCAGUGGCUUCACCAGAAGGAGGAAGUCAAGAAUGUGAGACAUGAGCCACAGGGAGGUGCAUUUGGGGACAGAAAUGGCAGGAGUUGGAAUUAUUCACACAGGGAUCAGGAUGAGGAAGGGCUCAGAGACAACAGCCAGGUUUCUGGUUGGGGCAUUCAGGAAAACACUGGAGAGAGCCCAGACUUGGAAAAGUCAAGGCUUCCCCUAAAGCUGCUGCCCUGCAGCCUUCUUCAGCAGAAACUAGAAGCUGGGAGCCAGCAGCAGGAACUCGGGGCUAGUGGGUGGAGGCUGCUGAGAUUCCAGGUCUUUGGCACCCAACACCACUUCCAAGGAAAAGUCUAAGGAGCAUCAAGUCUGGGCAGUAAGUCCAUGGCUCAUCUUUAGAGUAUUCUCAGAACAUUUCAGUGUCAAGCAAGAGUUGGCCUAGGAAUCACAAGAGGUGAGCAGCUGCUCCAAAGCACCACUGAGUACUGCUAGUGUGAGUCUGACCAAUAUUCAGAGUUAGAAACCUGCCAGUCACAUGGAGGGGGAGAGGUUUGUGCUCUGUCCCUGUGUGCUAUCUCUCCCUCCAUGCUUGCUGGUGGCUGUGGCUUCCUCAAAACACAACCACCUCAGUUGACAUUCAGUCAUCUCUUGCUCCCAGGAUUUAGGAGAGUAACUUCUGUAUUUGUGUAGCUUUCCUGAUAGAAGCCUGGACUUUCCUUGUCAGACCUGAAAGAGUUAUUUAUUCAUUCAACAAACAGUGGCCGAGGGUGUAUGGUGUGCCAGACCUGGAAUUGGCAUGAAGGCACUAGAUGUCAGAAGCCAGGCUGCUGCCCAGGAGGACACACCUGAUGGGGCUCUGGGAACAGGAUGAUGGUGGAGACAUCACGUCCAGAAUAACUUUGUUAGGAUGGUGAACUUGACAGUUAGGACUUUUAUGUUGCACUUGUUGAAAAGCCACCUAAAAUUGCCAUAAGUAAGAGAGGUGAUCUAAUGGCCCAUGAAACUGCCAACUCCAGGAAGACAGACAGGGUGACCUGACAGUAGGUUUGACAUGUUGGUUUUUCUGCCAUUCUGUGCGUGGCGUCAGCUUCCUCCCAAGACUGACACUACAUAGGACAUUAGGUGUUUGCCAGCCCAGUUGAAGCUGUCUGCUUCCUUGCUCACCACCAGCAGAAAGGUGGGGUCUAUGCCCCGCAUUCCAGGUGACAGCGAAGGUUUAUGUGGGGACUCAGUCACACUUUCCGGAGACUGUACAUUUCAUAGCAGAAUCCAGGUUAUAUGAAAGGAGUCCUGGCCCAAGGAUACCUGCACCCCAUAGAGAUGGAGAACCCCAGGGAGCACAGGGGCUGAGGGGCUGAGUGACAGGGAGCACUGCCCACAGAGGGGGCAUCCUGCAAUCAGGAAGGGUAGGAAACGGGUGCAGAUCAGCAGCCAACAGAGGCCCACCCAGGUGAGCACAGGUGGAGUUGCUGGUGAGGUGAAGAGUGUGCUGGUCGGGAGGGGAGGGCUGGGGACCAGUAGCCGGUUUGGGAAACCAAAGCUGGGCAAAGGGUGUGCCAAGGCCUGCAGUGGGGCCUGUUAACAAAAACAUCAAACUGUUAAAUGAUCUGAAAGAGGUAUUUUCUGAGCCAAUAUGCGUGACCAUGGCCUGGGGAUCUCAAGAGAUCCUGAAAACGUGUGCUGGGGCAGUCGUUUUCUACAUUUGAGGGGACAGGAAUUGGAGUAACAUCCUAAAUCCAUCCAUGGAAGGUAUACAUUGACUCUGUCUAACACGGUGGGAUAUCAUGAAACGGCGGGGGACAUUAUAGGUCACAGGUGGAUUCAAAGAUUUUCCAGUUGGCAAUUGGUUGAGAGUUCAGCUUUGUCUAAAGACGUGAAGUUGGUACAAAGGAAUGCUUCAGUUCAGAGAGAGGGUCUGCCUCUGCCAUGUGAUGCUGUCCCAGAGUCAGGUAGGAAAGUCAACCACAGCAUCCUGGGUCAAUUUAAAACCCAUUGAAGGAGACUGUGGUUUCUAGGGUGUGUGUUAAUUCUUGCCUUGCAAGGCCUUAAGUCUUCAUUUUCAAUUCCUAAAUAAAGGGAUGAGUCCUGGAGCUUCUGGAAGCUGGCCUGGAGCUGAGCACUUGCCACAGACAAUGCCCAAAGUGCAAACCCAAAGGCGCGUGGAUCUGGGCUGCAUGUGAAAGCUUUCAUGUUCAGGUCUUACUUUGCGACAGUGAGGGGUGACCGGGGAAGCCUACAUGAGGGGUGGGGGCCGACCAGCAGCCCAGCCUGGGGAACUGCCUUAACCGCAUCUCACCUCACUUCCUCAGGGUUCAGGUUUUCUUGAAGGGAACAUGCAGAUUUGUACAAAAUACCAACAAGCUGAGAUUUUAAUUUUUUUAGCAAUAAGGAAAAAUAGAAAUUUUCACUCCAAGCACCCCAUGUUAAGCUCGGCCGAACUGGUGGCACAUCUCAGGAGUCAUGGGGCAACGCUUUCAGAAACAGUGUUAGGGCAAAAAGCAAAAGCAAAAAAAAAAAAAAAGACAGUGAAGAGGCUUAAUUCUUCUUGUUAAGGGAAGAGGUGUCCUCUGUCACUUUUCUUAGAGCAUUUUCUUUAGAAAACUUGUCAUUUUAAAUCCUUCCUCUGCCCCUUUGAGGGACAUGCAAAGCUUUUUGACAGCUAAAUAAGCCUUUUGCCAGUUUUGCAAGGUCUAUGUCCCUGAAGGACCUGGGAGUCCAGUCUUUGAAACGUUAUCAUCAGAGCAGCCAGGGCCCUGUCUCCCAGUCUCCAUGGGAGGGCGGGAACCUAACUUUUGCCCUAUGUGAUAAAUCAACUUCUAUCGUAAAGAUAAGGGUUGUUUUUCCUUUAUAUGAAGUAAAAUAGCAGAUGCAGGUUGUUGAGUGAAUUGAGGUUGAAUCUCUGAUGAACCUGGUGUGACCAAAAGUGCUGUGCAGUCCCCUGACCUGAGGACUAGGCAUGGCUUCUCUUGAGAAUGUGUGCAAUGGUUUGGACCCCCUGGCUAGAUUAGCGGUGAGAUUUUUUUCUGUCUUUGCAGCGUCUUAGCGGAUCAUUGCCUGUGUUGCGCAUCUCGCUCUGGGUUAAUGCUUUUUCAAGGAUAAAAGCGUUGUUCUUUCUCUUCUUCCUCUGCAGAGAGGCUUGCUGGGAUGGGAGAAGAUUUUAUUUGUAAUUCCAUUUCUCCAUGACCAGAGGAUGGGCUCUGGGGGUCAGGCAGCUGGGAAGAAGUUUAGAACCCAUGCCUAGGCCUUCCCCAAGGCUCAUGCACUCAGUUCAGCAGUAUCAGAAACACUACCUGGAAGACCCCAUACUGUCUGGAAAGAGGAAUUCAUUUUCUUUCAUUGCUGACACUCCUGGGUGAGUGUGUGUGGUGGUUACCCAUACCCUAGUCCCACCCUGUGCCCCUCCUCCACCUCAGGGGGCCCCAGGAGGCCUGGCCCUCCUAGACCAGGGCACCCCCAAGGGAGACUGGGGGUUGGGGGUCCCACCAGGGUGCCAGGUGUUGGUCAAAGUGAAUGUGAACUAGAAGGAAGGAGAUGGAGCCCUCUCCUGGGAACCGGACAGGGACAGGGAUGGGGUGGGGGUGCCAAAGAAGCCAUGGCUCUGGACUGGGGCCGCCAACCUGCCCAGGCAGCUGGGGCUGACUCCUUGAAGUUGCAUUUCUGACUCCCCCUCCCACAUGCAGGCUCUUGGCCCACUGAGGCCUAGAGGCAAUGGCAGGUUCACUGUGGGCAGGGUUGGGGGCAUGGGGUGCCCUGGGGAGCUGGGGGUUCCUGUGGAGCAGUGGUAUGGGUCCCACCCUGGCCACCCCAUCUGCCCAGGCUCCACAUGUGCCCCUGCUCCCCCUGGAAAGACCCUUCUCUGUCCCGCUGGUGCACCCCUCCCCUCAACUGGGCCUCCACCAGGGAGAAGGGCCCGAGUUCUGCCGAGGCGUCCCUCUGAGUGACCACCCACACCUGAGCCAUCAGUCAGGUCCCUGCAAGGGAGCUGCCCCUGGGCCUGUGCUCCCCCGCCCCUGGCUGGCUGCACCUGGGCUCCAGAUACAUGUCCCCCGGCCAGACCCCAUUGCUCGGUUAGGCCCUUCUCGCCACCCCUCAGCUCUUCUCCCUAGGGAACAGUAUCAUCACCAACUUCUCAUAUCCUGUCACCGUCCACCAGGAGAGCAGGGGCGGAGGACCCCGCUCGUGCAUAACUGGUCCCAGGCAGCCGACCUGGGGCUCCACGGCUCUUGCUGCCGCUGGAAGUCGGGCCAAGGCUGGUGGCACACACAGGUGUGUUCCUGCUGUCAGGGGAACACAAGACAAGGCUGUUUGGCCUUGGGCUGAUCUUUAGCCCUGGACCACCCAGCCCCAGGUACUUUAGGCCAAUCUGCUGAUAAGGCCAUAAGUGCCUGAUAACCAAUCAGCAGGGUACCCUCCCGGCAGCCUCAAGGGUGACUGGGUUUCUACCACACCCUAAUGCCAGGUCUUCCUCUCAGCAAGUUCUACCCAGAAUACCCUAUUUCACAAUGUACUUCACCACUAGCCCACCUGGCCAUGCCCUAUCCCCAUAACUGGCUCUGAGUUUUCUUGUUACCUUCUAACCUGCUCUAAAUGCUAAGGAUAUGCAUCUGUUGUUGAUUUCUAUUUAAUAGGCUCUGCAAGCAGGGAUCUUUGGCUCUUCGGUUCACUCAUGUAUGUUAAGUGCCCAGAACAAGCCUGGCAGGUAGUAGGUGCUCAGUAAGUACAUGUUGAGUGAGUGAACAAUAGACAAGCAGUUUGUGUAUUCCCAGUAGGGCAGGAACAGGGAAGAGAAACAUUUUAUUGGGAAGCUAACAAAGCUUAGGCUUCAAAGUUCCUCUUUCCCCUGCACCAGCCCCUUACAAAAAACAAAAAAACCUUCUGUGGUUUUAUAAUUUUAUAUUUUGAAAACAGGCUCCAAAACGUAUUUGCCUCAGGCUCCAGAAAACCUGGAUCUUCCUUGAGGGUCGUGCUGCCUACUGGGUGAAAUAUAGAUUUUAACGUCAAACAGAGCUGCGUUCAAAUCCUAGCUCUGCCUCCUGCAAGUGUCUUAACCUCUCUGAACCCCCCUCUCCUAAUUUGUACAAGAGGAGUAAUAUCCCCACAUGUGUAAGACUCAACAGGGUGGGAAGGGCACGUUUGCAGUAAUGACUGAUUGUAUCUAACCUGAAUAUUCAUAUAUGCAUUCCACAGUUUCUUUUGUAUGUAUCCAUUAUAACAUAAUUUUAAAAACUGAUGACAAGAUCUGGUUUUCAAAACCUUUCUUUAUUCUUUGUGGAAUAAAGUUCAUGGUACAAAUAUCGACAGAGUCGAAGGCUUCUGUGAUGGGUCAAGUGAGAUGGGGCCUGGGAAGUGACUGAUAUUGACCACAGGAUGCAGCAACAUGGGGAUGACUGAUGACCUUGACAGGAGCAGCAUUGGUUCAGUGGUCCCCAAAGACCUCCGGACAGGGGAAGGUUUCACAGGAGAGGAACUGGAGCUGAGUGCAGAGGACACUGUGGAGCAGUUUUUCCACAGAGUGAAACAAGGAGAUGCCUGGCAGCUGCGGAGGAAGGUGCAGUCAAAAAGCCUACUGCCUAGAACAUAAAGGGAAGAAGCAAUAGCUGUUUUUCACCAAGAAGUUAUUAGAUGCCUGGCACUGUGAGAAAGACGGUUUCCCACGUCGUGCAAUUUCAUGUUCACAACAGCCUUGGAGCUAAGGAACCUGAUUAUAAUAGCUCAUUGCAUUGUUGGAGUCGCUGUUAUUCCCAGAGCUGUGGGGUUUGAGAGCAGUGUGUCAGUGCCACCCCAUGCUGCAUCCAGGAAGAUCUCUCCUCCACUGGAUCAGCCCAGCUGGAAAGUGGCCAGUGAGACGGAAGAUGGACAAUCCAGCGGCAGUACAUUCUGGAAGUCUCAGGGGGAAGAGAAAAAUCGAUUUAACUACGUUAAACCUACAUUUAACGUAGGUUCCUGGAAAGGACAUAAUCUCCCCCGAUCUCUCAUCAAUAACCCAACAUCAGAUCAGUGCCCUGGACUUAUCGUUUGAAGGGGAAUGAAAGUAGACAGAUAGGUCUUCCUUGGUUAGAUGUCCCGAAAUCUGAGGGCGAUGGUCCUAGCUCUUCAGAGAGGACACAUUCUUUAACCUAACCUUUUAACAAGUUCUCUACAGGAGAAGAUACCAGGUCCCAACACUUCAAGUAGCUUUAUAGACAUAGGUAAUCGAAGGACUAAUUAUGAAGGUGUAGAUAGGUAGAGGGGAGCAACAAGGAUGGCACAGGAACCCAUAGUCUGAGGAGGAGGGAGAGUCAUUGGAACCUGAAAGGACCUGGGCAGAGCAGGCUGUCCUGAGAGCUGGCCUAGGGCCAAGGCACAAUCAAUACCAAGCCUGCCUCAUGCUCUCUUCCCUCCACUCCUCAACUUGCUGCUGGCUUUCAGAAAAGUUAAAAACUUGCCGUUUCUAUCCUUUUGCCAUUGUUGUCAUGUUAUAAGGUGGGGAGCAAUAUUGUAUCCAACUUUCUAGUUAUCGAAGUGGAAAUCAGGUGUAUAUAGCCAGUAUAUUUGCACCUAUUAGUAUUCUUAUUGGUAAUGCUUUCUAGAUGUUAUCUAACUGUAGCUUUGCAUUUUCUAUUUGAUUCAAAAGACAUGUAAGAGAUAACUUUUUCAUAAUUC